rnacentral:rRNA from 1 species
GUUAGGAAUAUUCGUCAAUGGGGGGAACCCUGAACGAGCAAUGCCGCGUGUGUGAAGAAGGCCCUAUGGGUUGUAAAGCACUGUUGUAUGGAAAGAAAGAUAGGAAUAGGAAAUGAUUCGUAUUUGACGGUACCAUACGAGGAAGCCACGGCUAACUACGUGCCAGCAGCCGCGGUAAUACGUAGGUGGCGAGCGUUAUCCGGAUUUAUUGGGCGUAAAGCGUGCGCAGGCGGUAUGAUAAGUCUAGAAUAAAAGCCCGAAGCUUAACUUCGGUUCGUUUUAGAAACUGUCAAACUCGAGUAUGGUAGAGGCAAAUGGAAUUUCUAGUGUAGCGGUAAAAUGCGUAGAUAUUAGAAGGAACACCAGUGGCGAAGGCGAUUUGCUGGGCCAUAACUGACGCUCAUGCACGAAAGCGUGGGGAGCAAAUAGGA